rnacentral:rRNA from 1 species
CCUACGGGAGGCAGCAGUGGGGGAUAUUGCACAAUGGGGGAAACCCUGAUGCAGCGACGCCGCGUGGGCGAAGAAGUAUUUCGGUAUGUAAAGCCCUAUCAGCAGGGCAGAAGAAAUGACGGUACCUGUGUAAGAAGCCCCCGCUAAAUACGUGCCAGCAGCCGCGGUAAUACGUAUGGUGCACGCGAUCUCCGGAUUUACUGGGUGAAAAGGGCGCGCAGGGGGGAGGGCAAGCCUGAUGUGAAAGCCCGGGGCCAAACCCCGGGACUGCCUUGGGCACUCGCAGGCUGGAGUGCGGGAGAGGGAGGCGGAAUGCCUGGUGUAGCGGUGAAAUGCGUAGAUAUUAGGAGGAACACCAGUGGCGAAGGCGGCCUACUGGACGGUGACUGACGCUGAGGCUCGAAAGCGUGGGGAGCAAACAGGAUUAGAUACCCUAGUAGUC